rnacentral:pre_miRNA from 1 species
CAACUACUCCCUCUGUCCCAAAUUUUUUGUCUUAGAUUUGUCUAGAUAUGAAUGUAUCUAAUACUAAAAUGUGACUUGAUACAUCCGUAUCUAGACAAAUCUAAGACAAGAAUUUUGUGACGGAGGGAGUACUUU